AAUUUGACCGGCUUGAAGGACUCCACCCUGAGUUUGCUGACUGGCAUGCAAAGGUUAACUUGUAUGAGCUGGAAUACAAAAUGUUCUACAAAGAGGAGUCAGCUGGUGAACUGGGGACCACAAAAGCAAGUAUUAAUAGAA